GCGCAUGCAGGCCGGCCUGUUAAGUCAGAUGUGAAAGCCCCGGGGCUUAACCUCGGAAUUGCAUUUGAAACUGGCAGGCUAGAGUCUUGUAGAGGGGGUAGAAUUUCAGGUGUAGCGGUGAAAUGCGUAGAGAUCUGAAGGAAUACCAGUGGCGAAGGCGGCCCCCUGGACAAAGACUGACGCUCAGAUCGCGUAAAGCGUGGGGAAGCCUAAACCCAGGAUUAGAUACCCCUCGGUAG
rnacentral:rRNA from 1 species